UGUAGUCAUAUGCUUGUCUCAAAGAUUAAGCCAUGCAUGUCUAAGUAUGAACACGCUUUGUACGGUGAAACUGCGAAUGGCUCAUUAUAUCAGUGAUCAUUUAUUUGAUGAUGCCUUACUACGUGGAUAACCGUGGUAAUUCUAGAGCUAAUACAUGCACACGACUCCCGACUCGUGAGGGAAGGGAGGUAUUUAUUAGGUAAGAACCAGCCCUGGCAACAGGAGCUCUGGUGAUUCAUGAUAACUGCACGAAUCGCACGGCCUUGCGCUGGCGAUGGAUCAUUCAAAUUUCUGCCCUAUCAACUUUUGAUGGUAGGAUAGAGGCCUACCAUGGUCGCAACGGGUAACGGGGAAU
rnacentral:rRNA from 1 species